rnacentral:ncRNA from 1 species
AGGAGCCGUAUGAGGUGAAAGUCUCAAGUACGGUUUUGAAUGGGAGGGGAUGGAGGGAGGUGACUCCAUUCUCGACCCCUU